rnacentral:rRNA from 1 species
CACAUCCAAGGAAGGCAGCAGGCGCGCAAAUUACCCAAUCCUAACUCAGGGAGGUAGUGACAAGAAAUAACAAUAACUGACCUAACAUAGGUAAGUUAAUUGGAAUGAGUACAAUCUAAACACCUUAACGACUAUCCAUUGGAGGGCAAGUCUGGUGCCAGCAGCCGCGGUAAUUCCAGCUCCAAUAGCGUAUACUAAUGUUGUUGCAGUUAAAAAGCUCGUAGUCGGAUUUCAGUUUGGUGUUCCGUUAACAAUUUCGUUGCGGAAUGCUUUACUUCUUUGAUACGACCCUUCGUGUAAUUAAUUUUACGUGUCUGGCUAGUAUCUCUUUUACUUUGAGAAAAUUAGAGUGUUCAAAGCAGGUCUUCGCCUGAAUAUCACUCUUGGAAUAAUAUUAUAGGACUUUGGUUCUAAUUUGUUGGUGACUUGGGACCGGAGUAAUGAUUGAUAGGGACGGUUGGGGUCAUUCAUACUGCAAAGCGAGAGGUGAAAUUCUUGGACCUUUGUAUGAUGAACAACUGCGAAAGCAUUUGACUAGGACGUUCCCGUUGAUCAAGAACGAAAGUUGGGGGAUCGAAGACGAUCAGAUACCGUCGUAGUCUCAACCAUAAACUAUGCCAGCUAGGGAUGGGAAGGUGUUUUCUAACGACCCUUUCCGCACCUUAUGAGAAAUCAAAGCAUUUGGGUUCCGGGGGGAGUAUGGUCGCAAGGCUGAAAUUUAAAGGAAUUGACGGGAGGGCACCACCAGGAGUGGAGCCUGUGGCUUAAUUUGACUCAACACGGGAAAACUUACCAGGUCCGGACAUAGUAAGGAUUGACAGAUUGAAAGCUCUUUCUUGAUUCUAUGGGUGGUGGUGCAUGGCCGUUCUUAGUUGGUGGAGUGAUUUGUCUGGUUAAUUCCGUCAACGAACGAGACCUCAGCCUGCUAAAUAGUUUAGUUUUCUUUUGAAGGCUGAUACUUCUUAGAGGGACUACUUCGCAAACAAGCGGGAGGAAGCUUGAGGCAAUAACAGGUCUGUGAUGCCCUUAGAUGUUCUGGGCCGCACACGGGCUACACUGGUUUAUUCAACAAGUUCUGAUUUCUAGUUUGAAAGAUCUGGAUAAUCUUUGAAUCUAAACCGUGCUUGGGAUAGACUUUUGCAAUUUUUAGUCUUCAACGAGGAAUUCCUAGUAAACGCAAGUCAUCAGCUUGCAUUGAUUACGUCCCUGCCCUUUGUACACACCGCCCGUCGCUCCUACCGAUUGAAUGAUUCGGUAAGCAUUUGGGAUUGAUUGUUUUUUCCCCUCACGGGGAUAAGGCUAAGACAACUUAUUCAAACCUAAUCAUUUAGAGG